GGUUCAGUGGUCUAAUGGUUAUGAUUUCUGUCUCACAUUGUGAACUGAACACAGAAGGUUCCCGGUUCGAUCCCGGGCUGAACCA